rnacentral:rRNA from 1 species
GAUGAACGCUGGCGGCGUGCCUAAUACAUGCAAGUCGAGCGAACAGAUGAGAAGCUUGCUUCUCUGAUGUUAGCGGCGGACGGGUGAGUAACACGUGGGUAACCUACCUAUAAGACUGGGAUAACUCCGGGAAACCGGGGCUAAUACCGGACAAUAUUUUGAACCGCAUGGUUCAAUAGUGAAAGACGGUUUCGGCUGUCACUUAUAGAUGGACCCGCGCCGUAUUAGCUAGUUGGUAAGGUAACGGCUUACCAAGGCGACGAUACGUAGCCGACCUGGGAGGGUGAUCGGCCACACUGGAACUGAGACACGGUCCGGACUCCUACGGGAGGCAGCAGUAGGGAAUCCUCCGCAAUGGGCGAAAGCCUGACGGAGCAACGCCGCGUGAGUGAUGAAGGUCUUCGGAUCGUAAAACUCUGUUGUUAGGGAAGAACAAAUUUGUUAGUAACUGAACAAGUCUUGACGGUACCUAACCAGAAAGCCACGGCUAACUACGUGCCAGCCGCCGCGGUAA